AAACAGACUCAUAUGCAUGGGAAUUGCCAUUUAUGCAAGAUUAGUCAUUACAUCAAGGUUGUAGUAGCAAAGUCUGGAAAGAACCUAAAAGAACAUUAAUACGGAGGUGACACGACAAAUCCUACUCACUCAUGCAAGUCUCAAAAAGAGAACCAACGGAAGUCCACCUUCAUGUGGAAAGGAUCCAAAUUUACCUCUACUUACUGCCACAGGACAAUCUGGAUCUACCAGUUUACUGUCAGAGUUAGGUCAGAGGAGUUUGGAUUUGAUGGAGGUCCCAAGGUGAUAAUAUACAAUAUUGAUGAUCUUAUGAUAAUAUUGAAAACCUAAGAACAAGCUAGGACUGACUUGAAUGUUAUCGUGACUCAUGUGAACAAGGAAGGGAGGUUAAUAAACCCAACAAAUAUCAAAGGACCCACCCAACCAAGCAACAUUCUUAAUCUGGUCAGGAGCCACCCAGGACAUUUCACAAGUGACUGAAAAAAAACUGCUGCUAUUUUUUACCCACCCCUAAGACCAAACAAGGAGUCCACAUUUCUUUGGUUUAUCUGAAUUUUGGAGAACACAUAUUCCUCACCUAGAAAUAUUGCUAGUUCCUGAAGACUUCCUGAGAGAAGGCUAUGUCUGAGAGAGGAAAUGAACAAAGGAAGCCACAUCUCAGUUAUAUAAAGGGAUAACUCUCAGUGCUUUUAAGCCCUAUGAUCCCAGCUCAGAUAUAAUUUCAGAGGUGUCUGCCACUGGACAUACAGACUGGAGCCUAUGGUGAAAGCCUGUAUCUGCCUCCCAAUGACAAUCAUUGAAUUUUGGACCUGAAAAUUCUACAUGCUGCUGCUUAAUACUCAGCAUUUGAGAGAUAAUUACUAGCUUGCUGUUGGGCAUUUGAGACUGCCUGUAUGGCUGAAGGACAUGAAAUAACCACGAAACCUGAGAUACCCAUAAUGUCUUGGGUGAUGUCAGAGAAAUGCUCUAAUAACGAAAAUAGGGCCCCAAGGAGUUCCAGAAAAAAAUGGCAACAGUUUCUACAGGAACAUGCUGUUAGGGGAAUUGAGGAGUCAUCCACCUGUAUGCAUAGGAGGUAGUCUUUUUUCCCAGACUUUGGAACCACCUCAGGAGCUGCCAAAACCUGUCACCACAUGAACAGUACCCUAUGAAUACCACUCAAUUGACUAACCAAGAACUGCUUGGUUUAUGAGACAGUUCCAAGGAGAAUGGAUAGUAUACUGUUUGCAAAGCUGCAAUAUUAAAACCAGCAGAAGGAAAGACCCUAAAGAACGUAAGAGUAAAUCAGCUCAAUUAGCUAAACUGGAUGCUCUUUUCAUAGCAGUAAUGGAAGACUUGAAUAAAGGUAAAAUCCUUGAGUUUUUACCAAUUCAUGGGCAGGAGCCAGUGCUGGUCAGGUAAAUAAACAGUGGAAAAGUGGACUGUUAAAGGGAUGCCUAUGUAAAGUACAGCCUUCUAGAAAUUGCUGUGGAAAUUUAAGGGAUGUGUCAAAGGAAUACAUGUUGAUGCCCAUCAGAAGAAUUCUUUCCCAUAUUCGAAAGAUGAUUGGGAACCCCCAAAUGGACCUUCUGAUGCUCUCCCUUGAAGUGACUAUCUGGGUCCUUGGAUUGAGAGGGAAUGGCAGUGCUAUAGCAGGCAGAGGUGAGCUGAAUCUACAUAUUCCUCUUACAUCUUCUGAGUCACAAAACACCAAGAACUGUUCUGUCUGCCAACAAGUGAGGCUGCAAAUGGCUAUGGGGAAAACUCCCCAGGAGAAAGGCCCCACCCAUAGCUGAGCAUAUUGCCAUGUGGCUCCAUGCUACACCAGGUGGAUGGAUGGAUGGAUUUCUCUGCUUUGAAAGAAGAGCUAAUUAGAAGUCAUUUCUAAUUAACUCCAUACACAAGAGGUACAAAUUUCCAGUUAUAAAAU